CCUACGGGUGGCAGCAGUCGAGAAUCAUUCACAAUGGGGGAAACCCUGAUGGGGCGACGCCGCGGGGGGGAAUGAAGGUCUGCGGAUUGUAAACCCCUGUCAUGUGGGAGCAAAUUAAAAAGAUAGUACCACAAGAGGAAGAGACGGCUAACUCUGGGCCAGCAGCCGAGGUAAUACAGAGGUCUCAAGCGUGGUUCGGAAUCACUGGGCGUAAAGCGUGCGGAGGCUGUUUCGUAAGUCGGGUUUCAAAGGCGCGGGCUCAACCCGCGGACGGCACAUGAUACUGCGAGACUAGAGUAAUGUAGUGGGAACCGGAAUUCUCGGUGUAGCCGUGAAAUGCGUAGAUAUCGAGAGGAACACUCGUGGCGAAGGCGGGUUCCUGGACAUUAACUGACGCUGAGGCACGAAGGCCAGGGGAGCGAAAGGGAUUAGAUACCCUGGUAGUC
rnacentral:rRNA from 1 species